GUACACGCUGUGACUAGCAUAUCAAUAAGCGGAGGAAAAGAAACUAACAAGGAUUCCCCUAGUAACGGCGAGUGAAGCGGGAAGAGCUCAAAUUUGAAAUCUUAAAGGGUUUCCCUUUACGAAUUGUAGUUUAAAGAAGUGUUUUCUGUUGAGGUUUUGGUAAAAGUUCUUUGGAAUAGGACAUCAUAGAGGGUGAGAAUCUCGUAUUUGACCUUUACUUUCAACUUUGUGAUACACUUUCAAAGAGUCGGAUUGUUUGGGAAUGCAGUCCAAAAUGGGUGGUAAAUUUCAUCUAAAGCUAAAUAUUGGCGAGAGACCGAUAGCGAACAAGUACCGUGAGGGAAAGAUGAAAAGAACUUUGAAAAGAGAGUUAAACAGUACGUGAAAUUGUCAAAAGGGAAGCGUUUGACACCAGUGUUGUUUUUCUGAAAAUCAAUUAAAGAACUGUUUAUGCUAAGCUGUUUAGACUUUAUCAGCUAAUCUGUUCAGUUUUGAGGCUUUUCUUUAAUGCACUUUUCAGUUAACAAGUCAACAUCAAUUUCUUUUGCUGUAAAAAAGCUUGAGGAAGGUGGCUUGAGAUUCGUCUUAAGUGUUUAUAGCCUCUUGCCUAUGCAGUCGGAGAGAUUGAGGUCUGCAGCGUAGAUCCUUCGGGGCUAAAUGCAUUUGUGCUAAGUUAUAGCAUUUUAUAGACAACUUGUUGACUAUGAUUUGUCUUGUAGCUUACUCGCUUAUGUUAUUUUACCUACGCUUAGGAUGUUGAGUCGUAGAGCACGCAG
rnacentral:rRNA from 1 species